rnacentral:misc_RNA from 1 species
GAUGAAGAACGUAGCGAAAUGCGAUAAGUAGUGUGAAUUGCAGAAUUCAGUGAAUCAUCGAAUCUUUGAACGCACAUUGCGCCCCCCAGUAUUCUGGCGGGCAUGCCUGUUCGAGCGUCAUUUCAACCAUCAAGCCCUGCUUGUGUUGGGGUCCUGCGGCUGCCCGCAGGCCCUGAAAACCAGUGGCGGGCUCGCUAGUCACACCGAGCGCAGUAGCACAUCUCGCUCAGGGCGUGCGGCGGGCUCCAGCCGUUAAAGCACCCACCUUUCGCAAGGUUGACCUCGGAUCAGGUAGGAAUACCCGCUGAACUUAAGCAUAUCAAUAAGCGGAGGA